CAGGAACCACAUCUAACCACAUCGAUCUCAAACCCUUGUCGCUCAAGAAAAACCACAACAACAAAAAAUUGUGUGCUUGCAGUGGAUAAUGUCCUGUAGACAGCAGUACCUGAUGGAGAGGUAGAUUGAUCUGGUGCAGCAGACUCUUAAUGGCUGUCUUGAGCUCAGAAUAGAGAAGGAAGUCUGCAGCCUUAUCUGCUCUUUCCACCUCCACAGGGCCAGACAGUGACUGCAGCCAUUCCCACUCAUCCCUGGACUCAGUUCCACAGAACUGGACUGCACAAGAUUCAUAUCAUACAGUGAUGAAGGCCAAUAAGAAUAGUACCAUGUUCUGUCCAGGGUUCCCAUUCUUUUCAAGGCACAGUUUUCCAGGACUUCUCCAGGACAUUUUCUGUUCCCAACAAGUGUAAUAUUUAAGCAAAAAGCAUGUUGGGCAUCCGUUGAGGAACCAGAACCUUGAUCUGAUCCACAGAGCUGCUGAGCUUCAGGAAACCCAGAUAAAGCCCAGAGGACAGCCGGUGCUGACCGCGUCUCUGGAGGAUGUCUAGGGCAUAAGGUUCCUCAGGGGUGGAAAGAGACUUCCUCUGACUCUGCAGUUUGGAUACCUGCAUCCACUUCCCAUUGAAAAAGGAAUAGAGGCUGUCCAUCUCCCUUACUGUAACAAGCA